UACGUAGGGGGCUAGCGUUGUCCGGAUUUACUGGGCGUAAAGGGCUCGUAGGCGGCCAACUAAGUCGGAUGUGAAAUCCCCAGGCUUAACCUGGGAACUGCAUCCGAUACUGGAUGGCUUGAAUCCGGGAGAGGGAUGCAGAAUUCCAGGUGUAGCGGUGAAAUGCGUAGAUAUCAGGAGGAACACCGGUGGCGAAGGCGGCUAUCUGGACAGAGUCUGACGCUGAGGCGCGAAAGCCAGGGGAGGCAAACGGG
rnacentral:rRNA from 1 species